UUGCUUUUCCUAUAUAUUGGGUUACGUCUUGCACCGAGUUACAGGUGUGUUGGGUGUCUUUCACUUAUGGAUGAGGAGGAAUCUGAGUUGGUUGUGGAAGCGGCUAUUGUUCAUAAUGAGAUAGAGGUGCCUGAUAAUCUCUUUGUGGGUCGCUUUCUUACUGAUCGAGUGAUUAAUUUCGGGGGCUAUGAAGGCUGUUUUAGCUAAUCUAUGGAGGCCAGUGCGAGA
rnacentral:misc_RNA from 1 species